rnacentral:tRNA from 1 species
GGGUUGCAUGGAGGGCCAAGGAUGGCCAACGGUCACGGGUUCGAAUCCCGUGCAACCCACCA